AUUGAACGCUGGCGGCAGGCCUAACACAUGCAAGUCGAACGAGUGGCGGACGGGUGAGUAAUGUCUGGGAAACUGCCUGAUGGAGGGGGAUAACUACUGGAAACGGUAGCUAAUACCGCAUACCAUCAGAUGUGCCCAGAUGGGAUUAGCUUGUUGGUGUGGUAACGGCUCACCAAGGCGACGAUCCCUAGCUGGUCUGAGAGGAUGACCAGCCACACUGUAACUGAGACACGGUCCAGACUCCUGCGUGAGGCAGCAGUGGUGAAUAGUGCACAAUGGGCGAAAGCCUGAUGCAGCCAUGUCGCGGGUAUGAAGAAGGCCUUCGGGUUGUAAAGUACUUGCAGCGGGGAGGCGUUACCCGCAGAAGAAGCAACGGCUAACUCCGUGCGAGCAGCCGCGGUAAUAC
rnacentral:rRNA from 1 species